GACGAACGCUGGCGGCGUGCUUAACACAUGCAAGUCGAACGGAAAGGCCCUGCUUUCGUGGGGUGCUCGAUUGGCGAACGGGUGAGUAACACGUGAGUAACCUGCCCUUGACUUUGGGAUAACUUCACGAAACUGGGGCUAAUACCGUAUAGGAGCUCCUGCUGCGUGGUGGGGGUUGGAAAGUUUCGGCGGUUGGGGAUGGACUCGCGGCUUAUCAGCUUGUUGGUGGGGUAGUGGCUUACCAAGGCUUUGACGGGUAGCCGGCCUGAGAGGGUGAACGGGGACAUGGGGCCUGCGAUACGGAGCAGACGGCAACGGGAGGCAGCAGUGGGGAGUAUGGCACAGUGGGCGGAAGCGUGAUGCAGCAGCGCCGGGUGCGGGAUGACGGCCUUUGGGUUGUAAACCGCUUUCGCCUGUGACGAAGCGUGAGUGACGGUAAUGGGUAAAGAAGCACCGGCUAACUACGUG
rnacentral:rRNA from 1 species